GAGCCCAAACCAGAAACUUGUUUCUGGGGUUGUGGAUAGAUCAUGAAAGAAGAGGUAUCUUAAUCGAAGAGGGCUGGAACGCCCUACCAUAGAAGGUAAUAGUCCUGUAGAUAAAAAGAGAAAACUUCGAGAUCUAAUCCAGAGUACCACGAGACACGUGAAACCUUGUGGGAAGCAGGGAGGACCACCUCCCAAGGCUAAAUACUACCUAGUGACCGAUAGUGAAGCAGUACCGUGA
rnacentral:rRNA from 1 species